AGAUAUUCUUGACAUCCACCUUGGAACAAGUACUUUAAGAUGACCAGCAGGUCACUCACUAGGCACUACUCCACAUCUUCAUCGUCAAAUGGUUUUGACCAGUGGGCAUGACCUCCAGUGCUGUCCUUCUUCACUCAUAGUGACAAUGGUUCUAUCUUUACCUUCAGAAGGAGGAGACAGAUAACAGGGCAAUGAUAAGGCUAAUAUCACAUGGCCUGGGCACCAUCCAUCUGCUGCAACAGGCUGAGUCAGAACUGCUCCCCUGAAAAAGCAGGGGCUCUGCAGAAGCCCAGGACGAGUGGGGCAGUUAUAUCCAGUGCUCAGAGUGCUGGCGAUGGACCCCACUGUUUCAAGCAAACUAAGCAGUCAAACACUGAGCUACACCCUAGGCCUAAUGACACUGACUUGACUCCAUUCUCUUUGUCUCUACUAAAUACAAGUACUUUCAUCCAUGUUUUGGUGGUAGUUCUAUAAGCAACUGAUGAAUCCUUGGUAGUUGGAAAUCAAGAAAUCUAGAAUGCUUCUAAACUUACUCUGACAAUGGAAAUAACCUAUAUCCAUGCUGUUCAAUAUGGCAGCCAGUAAACACUGACCAGUGAUUCAUUUGAUGUGACCAGUAUGACUGAGGAUUAAAUUUUAAAUUUUACUUGAUUUUAAUUAGUCUUAACAGAAAUGAUCACAGGUAUUUAGUGGCCAUAUACAAGUAUGAAACUGCUCAGCUCUAGAGGAAAAAUAAACUCAAGUGAGAGACUCAGGGCUUAUUUAAAUUGUAAUUCCUCUUACCUGGUGAUUUUAUUUCUAGAGUUCUUCACUUCUAAAACCUUAGAAGUUUUACAAUUUGUUUCAUUAAAGGAGACCAUUUAUUGUCAGUCUCUAUAUUAUAUUGCGUAGAGCUUUGGAAUUUAAAUUAGCAAUACCCUUCCACAAAGUGUUCUUUCUUUCACACAUGCCUAUGUGUUCCCUCUUCAUCACAUUGCAUCCUUCACUAUGUGGAAAAAACAUACAGGAAAAAGGGUUAAAAGGAUUGUGUACAAAGACACAAACCAUCCCCAACUUGCAAAAGGCUGCCUUGCAAAGGCUCAUGUGUGAAUUACGCUUUGGAACUUCAGAAAGUUUCUCAUUGACUUAGAAUACUAGAGCAAUCUACUAAAUUCAUUUGACACAAAAUAUAAGAGAAGAUACAUGAGUUACACAAAUAAUCAAAACAAUAAAGUAAUAGUUCUAAUAUAAAUAUAAAACUAAAAUAGAUGUGACAGUUUUUAUUUAGGGUGAGAGGAGGAAAAAGAGGAAUACAGCAUGCAUAGUUUCCUUGAGAACAGGAUACAAAAUGAUGUAGGUGAUGAAGACGCAUGAAUGGAGAAAUCAGCGACCAGCCCUGGAGUAGCUCCUCUCCACUAGCCAGCCUGGGGAAAUACUGUCUGUUCAGUGUGUACAUCACAUGCUGUCUAAGCCAUAAUGUUUCAGUCUGAAGACAUAGUGUGGGCUAUAGAAGAAAUGAGAUGAGCUGAGAGAUCAACAGGCAUUUAUCUGAGAAUGUCAGGGUCUCACUAUGUAAUUCAGGGUGGCCUUGAACUUGCUGUGAUCCUCCUCCUCAGCCUCCAGAGUUCUGGGAUUACAGGCGUGCACUACC
rnacentral:lncRNA from 1 species